rnacentral:rRNA from 1 species
AACGAACGCUGGCGGCAUGCCUAACACAUGCAAGUCGAACGAGACCGUCGGGUCUAGUGGCGCACGGGUGCGUAACGCGUGGGAACCUGCCCUUAGGUUCGGAAUAACUCACCGAAAGGGGUGCUAAUACAGGAUAAGGUCUUAGGACAAAAGAUUUAUCGCCUUUGGAUGGGCGCGCGUUGGAUUAGCUAGUUGGUAGGGUAAAAGCCUACCAAGGCGACGAUCCAUAGCUGGUCUGAGAGGAUGAUCAGCCACACUUGGACUGAGACACGGCCCAGACUCCUACGGGAGGCUGCAGUGGAGAGUAUUGUACGAUGGGCGAAAGCCUAAUCCAGCCACGCCGCGUGAGUGAUGAAGGCCUUAGGGUUGUAAAGCUCUUUUACCCGGGAUGAUAAUGACGGUACCGGGAGAAUAAGCACCGGCUAACUCCGUG